rnacentral:rRNA from 1 species
UACGGGGGGGGCAAGCGUUGUUCGGAAUUACUGGGCGUAAAGGGCUCGUAGGUGGCCAACUAAGUCAGACGUGAAAUCCCUCGGCUUAACCGGGGAACUGCGUCUGAUACUGGAUGGCUUGAGUUCGGGAGAGGGAUGCGGAAUUCCAGGUGUAGCGGUGAAAUGCGUAGAGAUCGGGAGGAACACCGGUGGCGAAGGCGGUCUUCUGGACGGUGACUGACGCUGAGGCGCGAAAGCGUGGGGAGCAAACGGG